GGUUCCAUGGUGUAAUGGUGAGCACUCUGGACUCUGAAUCCAGAAUCAGCUUAAAUUAAACCUAUACUGUUACUG
rfam:Homo sapiens chromosome 3, GRCh38 reference primary assembly.